AAAACCGAUGCCUUUAACGAGUUGUGGA
rnacentral:sRNA from 1 species